rnacentral:rRNA from 1 species
ACGAACGCUGGCGGCGUGCUUAACACAUGCAAGUCGAACGGAAAGGCCCUGCUUUUGUGGGGUGCUCGAGUGGCGAACGGGUGAGUAACACGUGAGUAACCUGCCCUUGACUUUGGGAUAACUUCAGGAAACUGGGGCUAAUACCGGAUAGGAGCUCCUGCUGCAUGGUGGGGGUUGGAAAGUUUCGGCGGUUGGGGAUGGACUCGCGGCUUAUCAGCUUGUUGGUGGGGUAGUGGCUUACCAAGGCUUUGACGGGGAGCCGGCCUGAGAGGGUGACCGGCCCCAUUGGGACUGCGGUACGGCCCAGACUCCUACGGGAGGCAGCAGUGGGGAAUAUUGCACAAUGGGCGGAAGCCUGAUGCAGCAACGCCGCGUGCGGGAUGACGGCCUUCGGGUUGUAAACCGCUUUCGCCUGUGACGAAGCGUGAGUGACGGUAAUGGGUAAAGAAGCACCGGCUAACUACGUG